AGGGGAUGAAUUGGAGCUACAGCUACUGGCCACAGCCACAGCCACAGCCACACUAGAUCCAAGCCACAUCUGCAACCUAUGCUGCAGCUUGUGGCAAAGCUGGAUCCUUAACCCACUGAGCAAGGCCAGGGAUUGAGCCUGUGUCCUCAUGGAUACUAGCCAGGUUCAUUUCCACUGGGCCACAAAGCAAACUCCUAUUCCUAAUUCUUAAAGAAGAUUUUUGAGUGUGUGUCUGUGAAAUGUAAUGCUAAAUUAACAAGAGAUUUUUCCAAAGUUUCUAAGAAAACUUCUGUGCAUCAAUGAAGGCCACAGUUUUUAAUUCAUUCGUGUAAUUAAUUGCAAUCAUAUUUUAAAGGAAAAUUAUUAGAAUGAAGAUCAGGAUAGAAGACUUGCCCUAGCACGCAGUACCGCUGAGAAGAGACAUUACGGCCCAUUUUCCACUUCACAUUCAGGGGUUCUGCAGCUAUUAUUUCUUAUUUAGGAAGUAAAAUUGACUGCACCUGGGCAUAUUAUUAGCUGCUCACCACAGGGAGCCUCAUGCUGAUGGGCUAUAAUUUAGCAGAGAGAGAAAAAAAAAAGGCAAGCCAAUUAGAAUGAAGCACACCGUCUGAUGCCCUUUCACUGACUGUUUGUCAGAAUUUAUUAUCUUCUAUUGAACAAAUAAGGGAUAAUUAGAAAAGGAAUAAGCGUGACAUCAUCAGAAUUGGGGGACAAAUUACUUCUCCUGCACAUGAAGAAGAAGUCUGAGUCCUGCCCAAGGAGACAAGCUCCCCCACCGACUGGCGUCCCCCGAAAUUCACAGGGCAUGUGAGAGAAGGCUGGCCAGCCCCUGACCUCACCACCAGUUCAUUUGCACCACCAUUCUGAUUCCUGGUGGUCACCCAAUUCCUUCUGGUAGUACUGCCUGGGGGACCAGACGCCCAAAGGUCCUGGACUCUAAGACUCGAGUGGGCUGCACUGGCCUGGGACGCAUGGCACGUGGCACACAGGUCAUGGUAGAGGAACAAGUGUGUCCUGUCAUCUCAUGGGGAAGACUGUGGCAGCCGGUGCCAAGACCCUCCAGGAUUUGCCUGAUGCAUCUUCUCCCUGCGGUGACACAGCUAUACAUCCUUUCACUGGAAUAAACUGCCUGGGAGCCCUGAGUCCUGAGCCACUGAACUUGAGAGUGCUCACAGGAUACCAAAAACAAACAAAGAAAUCAGGACAAAAGCAAGUCACAGAGGGGAUGCUGCUGCUCGGAUCCCUGAACACGAGGCCACCGCCUGCCCGCUCUCAGCCCCUAGUAACACUGAACGUCUCUAGACUCCGGUGCGGUCGAUAUUCUGGGCCAGAUAAUUCUUUGCUGUGGACAUUCUGUGCAUUGCAGGAAGUUUACUAACAGCACCCCUGUCCUCAACACAUGGGUGUCGACGGCGCCCUCUGAUCAUGACCGUCAGACGUGCCUGCCAACACAGCCACAGGAUGCUGGAGGGGGGGCAAAGCCACCCUGGCUAGCUUUGGUCACACCUGGAAAUGGAGACUCUACUGCCCCCACUUCUCCUGUGUCCUCCUCCCGCCCAAACUCACGUGGCAGAUGAGUCCCCAGACAGGAAGGACGAGCAGACUCGAGGCACCGGGCACAGGGCAGCACUGCGGGGCCUUCAUCCAUCCCUGCAGCUGCCUGUGCUGAGGGAGGGGUCAAGGUAAGAGCAAGCCAGCGUCUGCUUCCCCAGGGAGUCUUCCUGACCUAUGUUCCGGCUCCUGAAUUAAUGGCUGUGUGGGGCUGAUUAAAAUACAGCAUUGCCUUAAGAAGGUAGAGCCUGGUGAUUCAUCUCUGAGAAGAAGGCAACUGCUGGUUAGUGCAGAGAAAAUCAAUAGGCUUCUGGGUGUCUCUCAAGAUGGGGGCCCCCUUAUUCAUAAAAUCUAUGAAUAAAUGUUUUUUUUAAGAGUCCCCUGAUGAAAUCCACAGGUGAGCUCUCUGUGGCCUGUGACCUGUGGAACUCGUCCUUGGCACGGGCUGAGGGAGGCGGGUGCAGGACGGGCUGGGGGGCUGUCCCAUCCUGCUGCUCCUCACAGCCUGUGUCACUGUCACCUCCACACCGGAGGCUGGAAGGAGCAGUGUCGGAAGGACCACAAACCUACAUCCUGGACCUCCGGGUUUCUGCUGCCUAAGUUUUCCUGGCAGGUCCACUCUGCAGAGCACUUGAUAUAUUCGGACUGACUUAAUUUGAAUAGUGGAGGUGAGUAAAUUACAUCAGGUUAACGACAUUCCUCCGGGUUGAAAGACUCAAAGAAAAAAAUCAAUAUUUUAGGGGUAAUGUUUUUCAACAAAAUAUAACUCACUCUAAUCUUCUUCUUUGGAUGAAGGUAUAAUUUACAUAUAAUAGCAUUCACUCUUUUUAACGUGUACUUCUGCAAAAUUUUGACAAAAGCGUGGCGUGAGAUAAGCAUGGCCACAGUCAAGUAAGACGUGACCUAGAUGCUGCCGCCCCUGGCUUUCCUCUCUGCUGCACCGAGAGAGUGAUCAGGGAGGAAGUGAGGGCUGGUGCGGAACGGAGCCCUGGACCAGCCACAGAAAUAGAACACGGAAGGCAUCGGAUUAGGAAAGGAGGAAAGUCACCUUUUUGUACCAAUUACCCCCACCGUGAGAACCAUCUCUAAAACAGACGAAAGAUUUGUAAAUACUCAGUUGACCCGUGGCUUAGUUGAGGCUCAAGUUCGUGUAUGUUCCGUGAGUGAAAAUCGCCUCCUGCCUAAUCAGGAAACAAAGGAUGUCGCAGGCAUCAGGCCAUCCCAGCACAGGGGACCCAGUGAGGAGCCCCGAGGGGACGCAGGCUGGGAAAGCAUAGGGUCCAGGCCCCAGAGGGCUGAGGGAACAUGAAAGGCGUGACUGCAAUGAGCCCAGGCUCUUGCACCUUCCCAUGCAUAGUUGGCUCUCUUCAGUCAGCUGUCUGUCCUCUUUGGAUGCUCCAACUAUCUAGCCUUUGUUGCAAAAGCCCCUCUCUCUCAAGCUCCUCCCUGACCUCCUCAGAGCUGUCCCUCAGAGCCAUCCGACAGGCUAUGCCCCAUGUUCAGGUCCUCAGUUCUGCUCACCAAAUAAGACAUGGCUCUCUACAUUUUGGUUGUAUUUUUUUCCCAGUCGACAGGCCCCUGGAACACUGCUGGGAACCCACAGUGAUCAUCGUCCUUCUCUCUUCUCAUCCCUCGACCUUCGCCUGGCGCCCUCGGUCAGGACACUUUCCUAACUCUAAAGCCGAAGCGAAACAAAACAAAACAAAGAUCUGCAUGUCAGCCUCGCUGGCGGAGGUGCAGGAAAAGGUGCACUCCAGGGGAAAGCGAGAAGACCAGCAGAGGGUCUCCGACCCUGGGUUUCUUCAUCUCUGCCAGGGUUCUGUAGCUUGGACCUAACUGAGAGUCACACAUUCCGCCCCAUCUGGCAGGGAUUUAAUUUCUUUCCGCCCCGCCCCACCCGAUCCGUCCCCUCGGAAAAAACAGCGCUGCCUUCAUUUGCAUAUGUAUCUCACGCUUCCUGAUGAACAUGUGUUUCUGUUUCAAAUGUUUCUCUUCUGAAUUGGUCUUCACAUUUUCCCAGCUCCCCCAACCAAACAAGUUACAUAAAUGUUCAAUGCACGUUCAUUUUUCUGAUCUGCAUGAAGUGUCUUUUAAGGUCGGUGAGAGCUGCCCCUCCCGAACACCAAGGGGAGGGGUCCAGUUUGGAGGUAAGAUUUGAAGGGUUCUGGGGCAGCCCACGCUGGAUGCCUCUGGGCUCUUUGUGGCUUGAGGUCAGGACUAGACCAAGCCCAGCUCCAGCUUUCAGGUAGCGCUUUUGACUGAGCUGGCUCAGAGCCUACCCUCAGGGAAUAUUUGUCUAGAAUAAAAAGCAUGUAGCACUGAUUUCUAUGUAUCCAAUACCCCCCCCAAAAAAGCCCUAUUAAGGGUUACAAUGUGCUUACUCCUUGUACUGUAACUGGACCUAAUGAAGAAACAGCACAUUAGUUCCCUAAGUAAAUUUCAAUUCGUUACUAAAUUAAUAGUUAUCCUCAUGUACAUCAAACAUUGUCGGCACUUUCGACACAGCCUGUCAGAAGCUAGUACCACCCACAAAUACAACCAAUUAAAUAAAUAAUGGAAGUAAAAUGACUUCCACCCGACUGAAUGGCUAGCAGAGCCUGUGCUGGCUCUAUCAAGUCCCCUUUCCCCAGCACACCAUUUUCUGAGAAGGAGAUCUGCAGGUGGACCUGGGCUGCCUUUUUCACUGAAGACUGCAUAAAAUAUUUUGAAGCUAUUUAGAGGGAACACAUUAAAAACAACUUCCAUACCGGAGGUUAAGUGGCAGAAAUCUUUAUAGAGAAAAGUCCCUUUGUUUUGCAUGCUAUUCCGCGAGUGCAGUGAACUUAUUAAGAGCUUUGAUGUAGCAAAAAUUGUGAUGUGCAUAUGUACAAAUGAUCCAAACACAGCAAAAAGCAGCUACAGAAAUCAAGAAAGAGGCUUUCUAACAAAUGCAUUCUGAACUGGAUCAAAGGGAUAGCCUGGCAGCUACAUGCCAGGGAUCUAACAUUCAUUACAUUUUCAUUUCAAGGAAACAUCUUUUGCAACAGAAAGGUGAAGUCUAUCUGUAAUGAGCUUCUUCUAAGGCAGGAGGAAAGCUUCUUUUCAAACAAGAGACUAAAUAAAUACAGCACCUCUGUGAGGCUCUGCAAACAGAAAGGUGCAGAGUACUCACCUUUGCAACAGGGGAGAGGCCCCUUGAAAGCAGCUGGGGAUUUGCAAUCAUUUUUCGCAUCUUCCUCCUCCCCCAGAAUAUUCUGACUUUAAUAUGUAAAUAUGUGGUCAAGAGAAAACACUUGCCGGGAGAGUGGGUGUUUUUGUUUUGUUUUGUUGCUGAAGGUAAAAACACUGGAAAUCAUGUCCCCCCCAAAGCUCGCCUGGAUCUGAUCGGACGACGCCCACCACUCAACCCACAGCCCAAGGGUGCUCUUCUCUUAGAACUUGAUAAAGGACAGGAUUUUUCCAGUGAGUUCACGCGCAGAAGGCUUUCUCGUCUCCCCGUGUGCACGUGGAGCUUUCUGGCUUUCUGAACACACCCGCCCAUCCCCACUACCAUCCCCCCAGGCCCGCCCAGUACAGCAACGCGGCGUCCUAACAGGACACUGGGCUGCGCCCUUCCCUGCCGGGCCCCCGCCUGGUCCCUCAGCCUCUCCACACCUCAUCUUCCAUUUCACUAGCAGGGAAAAUCGUCCUUGCUCCUAUCAUUGGGCUACAAUGAAAUAAAACAGAACUGACUCUCCAUUAGCUCCUGGCAACACAACACAAGGAGGAAAUAGAUGAAGAAGGCUCGGAGAGAGAGAAUCCUUCUUCAGACCUGUCUUUUCUGAACAUCUACCUCAAAUGAUAUGUCCCCAGCAAUGCUGCAAGAUAACCACACAGGAGAAAAAAAAAAUGCUUUUUUUUUUCUUUUUCCUUCCAAGCCCUUAGGAAGGAGGCUAAGGAUUACAAAGUAGGGAAAGAGAACAGCCGCAUCUCCAGAUGGGGUAGUGGACACCUGGAGCACAGGACCCACGGAAGAUGCUUGGAAUCACGGCCUCUUGGAAGGCAGAACAUUCUUCCAAAGAAAAGGAGGAAGCCUGGAGAAAGACGAAAGUCAAUACCAGCGCUUUUGCGUCCCUAAACACUGGCCCACCAGGAGGGCUAAGGUGGCUGCACAGGGGCCUGGGGCCCAGAGGGGAGGGGUAGGUGAGGAAGCCCUCAGUUUGCUUUCCUCUUGGCUAUAGUUUACCUCCUAUUGGCUCUUACUGUAACUGAGCAGGACCCUCUGGGGCCUUCCCAGGACAGACCCC
rnacentral:lncRNA from 1 species